GAUGAAGAACGUAGCGAAAUGCGAUACGUAAUGUGAAUUGCAAAUUCAGUGAAUCAUCGAGUCUUUGAACGCACAUUGCGCCCCCUGGUAUUCCGGGGGGCAUGCCUGUCCGAGCGUCAUUGCUGCCCUCAAGCACGGCUUGUGUGUUGGGCCCCGUCCUCCGAUUCCGGGGGACGGGCCCGAAAGGCAGCGGCGGCACCGCGUCCGGUCCUCGAGCGUAUGGGGCUUUGUCACCCGCUCUGUAGGCCCGGCCGGCGCUUGCCGAUCAACCCAAAUUUUUAUCCAGGUUGACCUCGGAUCAGGUAGGGAUACCCGCUGAACUUAAGCAUAUCAAUAAGCGAAGGA
rnacentral:misc_RNA from 1 species